AUGGCCUACACUGACCAAAUCAGAUGUUGUAAGCCUAAAGAAGCAGGGACUGCUCCAAUUUCAUUUGGAAAAUCCAGUAGCAGCCACAUCCAUUUUCUGAGAUCUUACCAUAGGCCUGGGACAAUUUGGCAAAGCAAGAAUGGACUUGUUCAAAGUCUAAGAACAAAGAGGAAGAAGGUUUGUAUGUGUUCAGCGAAGAAAAAGAGAUACAAAUUAGAGAGAAAGAAGAGGGGUCUUGAAUCCAUGGAGCACCGUUACACACCUUGACAGCCCUGGCUGUCUCCAAUAUUUGGGGAGAAAUGUCUUUUCAACACAGAAAUGAGAAAGAUGGCUCCUAUGGCAGAUGGCAAAGUGGUUCCUCGUACGCACUGCCAGAGGUAUGCUUAAAGCUAACAUUUCAAGCAGAAAAAGACUUUAGACAUUGUAUAUAAUCCUCCUAACUCUUUUAAUUUUUACAUAUGAAGAAACUGAAACCUAGGGAAGUUGUGACUUGCCUGAAUUUACACUGCCUGAAUCCAGGGGAAUUAGGAUAAAUGUUCCCCUAACCGAUGUUUCCUCAAAUCUACAUUCAGUACUUUUUUUUCCCGCUACACACAUGAAUUGCUUGCUCCCCAGAAGUAACCCUUCCAUAUGUGGAAGGAGGUGCUUCUUCCAUGUUCAGUAUAACAGAGAUGAAACAAAGUGAAGGAAGCAGGUUUCCCCCUUCUCUUGUAAGCCCACAGCCAGAGCAGCUAAAUUUCUAUACAUUUGGUACAACUCUUUCAGCUGGACUUCAGUUCUACAGACGAAGGAUAUGUAAAGUAAGGUCAAGUUGGAUUAAUGCUGUGCUGCAGCCAAGGCUGUUCUGGGUGCAAAUACCAGAAGCCAACUCAAAUUAGUUUGAGUAAAAGGAGUGCUAAUACCGGAGAUGCAGAAGUACUCUUCUUGGGUUUCACAUACUUUGAGGAGAGUAAAGAAAUAAGGACAGGUUUUACAUGAAAUGGAAAGCUGGGGCCAGGCAUGGUGGCUCACACCUGUAAUCCCAGCACUUUUGGAGGCCAAGGCAGGCAGAUCACCUGAGGUCAGGAGUUCGAGACCAGCCUGGCCAACAUGAUGAAACCCCAUCUCUACUAAAAAAAAUACAAAAAUUAGCUGGGCAUGGUGGCAGGCCCCUGUAAUCCCAGAUACUCGGGAGGCUGAGGUAGAGGUUGCAGUGAGCAGAAAUUGCACCACUGGACUCCAGCCUGGGCAACAGCGAGACUCUGUCUCAAAAAAAAAAAAAAAAAAAAGGGAAUCAAAACUGUUUUCUAUAUACUCUUUCAGUUUUGCAUCUGACAGGACAACAUCUACAAAGAAUAGAAUAGAUGAAACUCUUUGCAGCGGAACCUUAAAAAGCCAUUAUAGGAAAAAGGAAUGAGUAAAAGAUGGCUCAACUAUCAGUUCUUGUUUAAAAAAAAAAAAGCCAAGAUUUUAGAUUAAAACUUUAAUAUGAACCUAGAACAUAUUACUAGGAGCAUAACGCUCACCAUAAGGAAAGUUUUUUUUUUCCCUUUAUUAGUCAUACUAUAUCUAGAAUAUUGGGCUCCACUCUAGACACUAUGAGAAACAGAGAAAAUAAAAAAUUAAAAUAUCCCAUGGGUAAAAUUUUUGAAAACGUAGUUUUUCC
ensembl:lncRNA